UACGUAGGGGGCUAGCGUUGUCCGGAAUCAUUGGGCGUAAAGAGCUCGUAGGCGGCUCAGUAAGUCAGGUGUGAAACCUCCAGGCUCAACCUGGAGACGCCACCUGAUACUGCUGUGGCUAGAGUCCGGUAGGGGAGCGUGGAAUUCCUGGUGUAGCGGUGAAAUGCGCAGAUAUCAGGAGGAACACCAGCGGCGGAAGGCGGCGCUCUGGGCCGGAACUGACGCUGAGGAGCGAAAGCGUGGGUAGCAAACAGG
rnacentral:rRNA from 1 species